GCGUAAAGAGCGUGUAGGCGGCCUGUUAAGUCGGCUGUGAAAGCCCAUGGCUCAACCAUGGAAGUGCAGUCGAUACUGGCGGGCUAGAGUCCCGGAGAGGGUGGUGGAAUUCCUGGUGUAGGGGUGAAAUCUGUAGAUAUCAGGAAGAACACCUGUGGCGAAGGCGAGCUUCUGGCCAGAAACUGACGCUGAGGCGCGAAAGCGUGGGGAGCGAACAGGAUUAGAUACCCUGGUAGUCCACGCUGUAAACGAUGUGCACUAGGUGUUGGCUGUGAUAACGGUCGGUGCCGAAGCAAACGCGAUAAGUGCACCGCCUGGGGAGUAUGCUCGCAAGGGUGAAACUCAAAGGAAUUGACGGGGGCCCGCACAAGCGGUGGAGCAUGUGGUUUAAUUCGAUGAUACGCGAAGAACCUUACCAGGGCUUGACAUAUAGCGGACUGCGGCAGAGAUGUCGCUUCCCUUCGGGGCUGCUAUACAGGUGCUGCAUGGCUGUCGUCAGCUCGUGCUGUGAGGUGUUGGGUUAAGUCCCGCAACGAGCGCAACCCCUGCUGUCUGUUACCAGCACGUAAUGGUGGGGACUCAGGCGGUACUGCCGGUGACAAACCCGGAGGAAGGCUGGGGACGACGUCAAGUCAUCAUGGCCCUUAUGUCCUGGGCUACACACGUGUUACAAUGGCCGGUACAGAGUGCAGCGAAACCGCGAGGUGGAGCAAAUCACAGAAAGCCGGUCUCAGUACGGAUUGGAGUCUGAAACCCGACUUCAUGAAGCUGGAAUCGCUAGU
rnacentral:rRNA from 1 species